AGAGUUUGAUCAUGGCUCAGGACGAACGCUGGCGGCGUGCUUAACACAUGCAAGUCGAGCGCCCGCAAGGGAGCGGCAGACGGGUGAGUAACGCGUGGGAACGUGCCCUUUGGUUCGGAAUAUUCCCGGGAAACUGGGAGCAAAACCGGAUAAGCCCUUCGGGGGAAAGUUUACGCCAAAGGAUCGGCCCGCGUUAGAUUAGGUAGUUGGUGGGGUAACGGCCUACCAAGCCUACGAUCUAUAGCUGAUCUGAGAGGAUGAUCAGCCACACUGGGACUGAGACACGGCCCAGACUCCUACGGGAGGCAGCAGUGGGGAAUCUUGGACAAUGGGCGCAAGCCUGAUCCAGCCAUGCCGCGUGGAUGACUGAAGGCCCUAGGGUUGUAAAGUCCUUUCGACGGGGACGAUAAUGACGGUACCCGUAGAAGAAGCCCCGGCUAACUUCGUGCCAGCAGCCGCGGUAAUACGAAGGGGGCUAGCGUUGUUCGGAUUUACUGGGCGUAAAGGGCGCGUAGGCGGAUUUUUAAGUCGGGGGUGAAAUCCCGGAGCUCAACUCCGGAACUGCCUUCGAUACUGAAAGUCUGGAGCACGGUAGAGGUGAGUGGAAUUCCGAGUGUAGAGGUGAAAUUCGUAGAUAUUCGGAGGAACACCAGUGGCGAAGGCGGCUCACUGGACCGUUGCUGACGCUGAGGCGCGAAAGCGUGGGGAGCAAACAGGAUUAGAUACCCCGGUAGUCC
rnacentral:rRNA from 1 species